rnacentral:rRNA from 1 species
UACAGAGGGUGCGAGCGUUAAUCGGAAUUACUGGGCGUAAAGCGCGCGUAGGCGGCUUUGCAAGUCGGGUGUGAAAUCCCCAGGCUUAACCUGGGAACUGCAUUCGAGACUGCAUUGCUAGAGUAUGGGAGAGGGAAGUGGAAUUUCCGGUGUAGCGGUGAAAUGCGCAGAUAUCAGGAGGAACACCAGUGGCGAAGGCGGUGCUCUGGGCCGGAACUGACGCUGAGGAGCGAAAGCGUGGGGAGCAAACAGG